rnacentral:rRNA from 1 species
AGCCCUAAGUGGGUGGUAAACUCCAUCUAAGGCUAAAUAUGACCACGAGACCGAUAGCGAACAAGUACCGUGAGGGAAAGUUGAAAAGCACUUUGAAGAGAGAGUUCAAGAGUACGUGAAACCGUUUAGGGGUAAACCUGAGAAACCCGAAAGGUCGAAGGGAGAAAUUCAUUCGUGUCUCGCCGCAGGCGUGGGACGGUCGAGUGACGGAGGGCGUUCGCGCCCUACGCGCCUUCUGUUCUUCGAACCGGUGGCGAACCCGUGCACUUUUCUCCUGGUAGGACGUCGUGAUCCGUUGGGCGUCGGUCUACGGCUCGUGGUGGAGCCCGUCCGUUUUUUUACGGGCGGACCCGCGUGUCCCGGCCGACUCGCUCGACGGUAUACGAAAGGUUUAAGGCCGCUCUGGGAGCGUUCGGCUCGUGGCAAGCGCGCCAGAUGUGUCGGCCAUCGGACCUGGUGCCGAUUCUGACCUCUGGUGACUGUUGGCCGCGAAGUUCUCGAACAGACCUUUGACCGAUCUGCGACGCUAUAGCUUUGGGUACUUUCAG